rnacentral:rRNA from 1 species
GUGGGGAAUAUUGCACAAUGGGCGAAAGCCUGAUGCAGCGACGCCGCGUGAAGGAUGAAGUAUUUCGGUAUGUAAACUUCUAUCAGCAGGGAAGAAAAUGACGGUACCUGACUAAGAAGCCCCGGCUAACUACGUGCCAGCAGCCGCGGUAAUACGUAGGGGGCAAGCGUUAUCCGGAUUUACUGGGUGUAAAGGGAGCGUAGACGGUGUGGCAAGUCUGAUGUGAAAGGCAUGGGCUCAACCUGUGGACUGCAUUGGAAACUGUCAUACUUGAGUGCCGGAGGGGUAAGCGGAAUUCCUAGUGUAGCGGUGAAAUGCGUAGAUAUUAGGAGGAACACCAGUGGCGAAGGCGGCUUACUGGACGGUAACUGACGUUGAGGCUCGAAAGCGUGGGGAGCAAACAGGAUUAGAUACCCCUGUAGUCC